AUAUAAGUACAGCUACAAAAUUAUUCUCAUGCAAUUUUAUCAUUGUUAGAAUCUAAAAUGAUAUCAAAAUAAAAUGAUAUAAAAUAUGACAAACUCAAUUUAUUUAAAUGGUUAUUAGAAAACGUAUGAAAUUUUUAUGAUUUUUAUAAAAUUAUAAUUUUUAACUUAAUUAAAAACCAGCUUUUAAUAUCGAAUCAGAUCACGAUUUUAGCAUGUUUGACCGGUUUUUGAUUUGGAUUUACCGGUAUAACUCAAAUCCGGUUUUUAACACAACCAGAAACAAGUCGAAAAAAUAAGUCACGGUCUGACCAGUUUGAUCUACCGUCUCUGGUCCGAUUUUGAAAACAUUAAUUACAAUUUAUAAUGAUAAAAGCAAUUUAAAAAUAUAUUAUAUAUUUAAAUAAUAAAAAUAACAAUAAUAUACAUAAUAUACAAAUACAAUACGUAAAUAACAAUAAAUAUUUCACUAAAGUUAUGUUACUAAAAUUUAAAAUUAAAAAAAUGAAAAUAUUAGUAAUUAACCAAAUAUUUCUAUUUUCUAUUAAAAAAACAUCUCAUUGUCUACUUAUCUCUCUUUUUAUAUGAUAUGUGAAUUUUUAAUUAUGUAAAUAUAUAAUAUUGUAGUUUAAAUAUGGUUAGUAUUAAAUAUAAAAGAUUAUAGAAGAUUAUUAAAUAUAUUAAUAAUUUGUAAUAAAAUCAUUUAUUGGUCAAAAAAGAAAAAAAGUGGGAGAACAUCACCAAAUAGUAGUAGACAGAACUGCAUGUGGGAGAUCUGCUUUUUCACAGAAAAAGACAAAAAAUUCUGAACUGCUUGCUGUUCUCCUGCCAAAUAAAUUUUAAAAACAGAAAAUGGUGAAUGGGUGAUUCAAGUGCAGUUCUCCUGCAACAGCAGAUGAUCUGCCUUUCUCCUGCCUCCCAUUCAUAACCUUAGUUGGCCUUUCAUUCACCUAGAUUGUACAUACCCAAUUGAAAUUUACUUAACUUCUCUCUAAACAUAUGUCAGUUAACCAGUUUAUUCAUAUUCUUAAUUAUCUAUCCUUUCACAUAGCGACUGGCCUGUUACUGCUGCAAUUUUCUUUUCAAAGAAUAUUUGAAAUUGCAUUUUUCUGAGGGAAUCACGAUAUCUAACCUAUAUUAAAAGGGUUAUAUGAGCAUCAGAGAGUGUGUCCACAUAGGACAAUUAAAUCAGCAAAUCAGGAGACUUCUUUUUGACACGUCAGCAAACUCUCUCUUCUUUAGGUGGGCCUUACUUACACGAUAAAUAUUUAUUUUACGAUUGCGUUUUCGUCUGAAUUAUUUAUUGGAUUAGAAAAAUCUUCUUUCUCUCAACUUUUUAUCUUCAGUAUCUCUUCGGCUUCUUCUCUUUCUCACGGGUGAAACAGAGACUGCUAGAUUACAGGGAAGUAGAUGAAACACAACAAACAACAGAUUUCAAGCAAAAAGAUUUGGAACAUGGGGAAGAACACGAAGGAGGCUACGCCUCAACCUCCGAUGAACACCGACGGCAUGGAGAUUCAGUUAUCUGGUCAUCACUACGACGGGGUGUCCAUGCCAGCCGAUAGAACUGUCGCCGGUGUACCUUCAAAGCACCGCCGUCUCGGAGGGGUCAUGCGGCCACAUAACGUCGGAUUUGCAAAGAACACCGACUCCCUAUCUCGCCACAUUGACUGCGAAGAGGCUCCACCACUCAUAGGUCCGAACAAUCACAUGAUCCUCCUCCUACACUCACCGUUCGAGAAGUAACUAUGUCGGAAAGUAAACGAACCUGGAGAACAGCCUUCUCCGUGGUAGAUCUGCCGUCAAACGAGCCCCUCCCAACAGAUCGAUACAAACCCUAGAAAUUCCAAUGACUGAUUUUCGUUAUUCGCCGGGGCUCCACCGUCCUCUAGCAGAGCAACACCUUCAACGAGCCGCCAGGACCCAUGAGGCACUCCUAGGGAUCCGCAGCGCCAUGGAUUGAAAAACGGUAUCGGAAAAAGGAGAAGAGAAGCACCACUGAAACGUCACCGGAUGCCAACUACUUCGUCAGUAGGCUCAGACGCCGAAGGAGGUGGUGGGUGGGAGCCGGCCCGACUGUCCGACGAAGCUAAUUAUGACUGUUAGAUUUGAUGUUGGUUCAAAUGAAUUUAAUUAUAGUUCUGGGUCGCUACUUUUUUCCUUAUACGAACAGGGUCUUUAGUCUGCUUCACUAGAUUUGGGUUUAUAUAGUGAAUGGAAUCACUCUGUUCUAAAGGAUAUGGUACAUGUAGAAUCUAUCUGGGUUUGAGAGCCAUGAGAUUCUUAGUGUUCUAUCUUUCUCUGAUUCUAGGUGAAAAACAUUGUUUUGGCUAUAAAAAUUCAGAUUCGUGUGUCAAAUUUUCAUGGUACUUGACAAGAGUACAACUUUUCUUACCAUGAAAAGACAUAAACUUUAUAACUUGCAUUGUUGUUUAUAACUUGCAUUGUUGUUGCUUGCUUUUAUGUUAAUUGUAUAUGCUUUGUGAGCUCAUAGUAGCUAUACAUUUACAGGUUUUUGAUCUUACAGAUGUGAAACACCAUGAUUUUGUACGUUAAGGUUUGGCGUUUUUGAGACCUUUGCAGCGAAAGGGGAUGAUUGUGCAAGAGAAUGCAGAGAAAAGAUGCAGAUCAUGGUAGCAGGUGGUGAUGGUACAGGUGCUAGGGUUCGCCAAUCUCUUAUCCAUAAGUAGGUGGGAAUGUCAAUAUACUGUUGACAGAAGUUUUCAGCUGGCAUAGCUCCAUGUAUAGUAGUGAUAUUCUUCCCCUCUCGAGUGUUUAAUGAAAGUCAUCCACCAUGGAGUUUUCUCUAUAAAUAAGUUUUUGAUGUUGGUUAUGUUUGAAAGUGACAAGGACCCGGUAAGUACUCUAGAUAAGUAGGUGUAUUCAUAUAAUUGGAGAAUAAACAGCGUGUCAUUGUUGGUUUGUUUCAAAGACGAGAAUAAAAAGCCUUACUAGAAGUUUUUAAGACA